rnacentral:rRNA from 1 species
CUUCGUGGCUAUGAUAAGUACACAGAACCGGACGCGUCAAAUACUAUAAAAUAAAUAUUAUAAUAAAUGAGGUCACGAAAGAACUGACGUAACAUUACCUAAGCCAUUAGUGAAACGCAAUUAAGCAGACAGAUCACUCCACGAACUAAGAACGGCCAUGCACCACCUAUCACACAAUCAUGAAAGGACUAGCAUAUUUGAAAUGUAAAUGAAAAGCUUAUAUAUAUAUAUAAAAAUAUAUAUAUAUAUAUAAACCUUACUUUACGAAACACCUGUCAAUCCUCAGUGUGUCCGGACCCGGUAAGAUUUCCCGCGUUGGGUCAAAUUAAGCCACAUGCUCCACGCGUUCUUGUGGUGCCCUUCCGUCAAUUCCUUCAAGUUUCACACGUGCGU